rnacentral:rRNA from 1 species
AACGGGUGAGUAAUGUGUGGAUAAUCUACCUUAAAGAGGGGGAUAGUCUCGCGAAAGCGGGGGUAAUACCCCAUAAUAUCAUUUUAUGGGAACAUAUUAUGAUUAAAGGUGCAAACCGCUUUUUGAUGAGUCCACAUCCUAUCAGCUAGUUGGUGAGGUAAUGGCUUACCAAGGCUACGACGGGUAUCCGGCCUGAAAGGGUGAACGGACACACUGGAACUGAUACACGGUCCAGACUCCUACGGGAGGCAGCAGUGGGGAAUAUUGCGCAAUGGGGGAAACCCUGACGCAGCGACGCCAUGUGAAGGAUGACGGCUCUAGGGUUGUAAACUUCUGUCUAGAGGGAAGAAUAAAUUGACGGUACCUCUAAAGAAAGCACCGGCUAACUCCGUGCCAGCAGCCGCGGUAAUACGGAGGGUGCAAGCGUUAUUCGGAAUUACUAGGUGUAAAGGGCGUGUAGGCGGUUUGAUAAGUUAGAUGUGAAAUUCCAUAGCUCAACUGUGGACCUGCAUCUAAAACUGUCAGACUUGAGUAUGGAAGGGGAAAACGGAAUUUCUAGUGUAGCGGUGGAAUGUGUAGAUACUAGAAGGAACAUCGAUGGCGAAAGCGGUUUUCUGGUCUAAUACUGACGCUAAGGCGCGAAAGCUAGGGGAGCAAACAGGAUUAGAUACCCUGGUAGUCCUAGCCAUAAACGAUGGUCACUAGUGUUGGGAAUAUAUUCUCAGUGCUGACGCUAACGCAUUAAGUG